ACGGAGCCUAAGAACAAGGUGAAGUGUAGAUUCCUUCUGAAUAUUAUAAUCAGCAAGAGUGCGUCCAUCUUCAAGUUGUUUACCAGCAAAAAUAAGACGCUGUUGAUCCGGUGGAAUUCCCUCCUUAUCUUGAAUCUUCGCUUUCACAUUAUCAAUCGUAUCAGAACUCUCCACCUCCAAAGUAAUCGUCUUCCCCGUUAGCGUCUUCACAAAAAUCUGCAUUCCACCACGGAGCCUAAGAACAAGAUGAAGCGUAGACUCUUUCUGAAUAUUAUAAUCUGCAAGUGUUCUCCCGUCUUCUAACUGUUUUCCGGCGAAGAUCAACCGCUGCUGAUCCGGUGGAAUUCCUUCUUUGUCUUGGAUUUUGGCUUUCACGUUGUCGAUUGUGUCGGAGGAUUCUACUUCUAGCGUUAUGGUUUUGCCGGUUAGGGUUUUGACGAAGAUCUGCAUGAUGAUAAAUUUGUAGUGAUAUAAAAGUAGAUAGAAGAGAGAGUCUUUGAUGUUCAAAUUUUGAGACUUGUGAUUGAUGAAUAUUGAAGGAGAGGGGUUGUUAAUUUAUAAGAGGUUAUAGAAGAAUCUAGAAACAUGCAACUAGGAAGAUAAGUAAGGAAUUUUGUUUCGAGGUGGGUCUGGAAUAAAGAAACGAGUACUACCAAGCUUGCACGAAACUUCCCGGCAUUCUUUGUUUCGAAAACACGGAUGCAAUUCAUCACAAACCCAUGGCCUCGAGAAACAUCCCGAAUAGAAAACAUCAUAUACAAAAUAGGACGAAAAUAAAUUAAACAUCAUAUAAAUUUGGAAGCUUAAGCGAUAUAAAUUUAGUUUAGCAUUUAACGUAAGUUUCUUUUGAAAAUGACCACAGUUUGAUAUUUUGCUAAGUACUAGUCCAUCCGACAAAAUCAAAAUAUUAUUAUUAGGUGGGAUAUCACGUGACAUUUAUAUGUGUUUUUAGUGGUAAUUAUAUUAUUUUGUGUAUUAGACAAUUAUAAUAUUUUUUAUUGUCUUGAUUAUGUUGGAUUCGAACGUGAAUAAAUAAGUCAUAUUGAAAAAUAAUGAGUUAAAUAUUUAAUAUAAUGUUAAAAUAUUUUCCUGCAUUGAAGUUUUUGUCUAAUUGUUGCUAUCAAAGGUGUAAGGGUAACAAACUUUUAUUUUUGAGAUUCGUUAUUUAUUAUUAUUAGAGUUUUGAAUAAUUUUUAUAAAUAUUUAUCCAUAAUGGGCUAUAGAUUGUGAUGGGCCUUUAAACAGACUUUUUUUAUUUAUAAUCCUUUUUUAUUGACCAAAAUGUCACACUCCGUAUAUAAACUAUAAAAAUGUCCUAUUUUUUUGUCUGAGCUAUAACUUGAAGAUGCACGAUGUGAAGGCAAAAGUGUUUGUCUCUGGAUAGAUGGUUGCAUUCCGGGGAUGCGAGUACUGCUAUAUUUUUUUUUUUUUGCUAUUUUAUAAAUAAUUUUGUUAAUUAUUAAUUCUAUUUAUUAUUAUUUAAUAAAUUAUAAAUAAUUUACAUCAAAUUCAUAUUUUAUUAUUAUUAUUAUUUUCAUUAAUUGUUAUUUAUUAGAUAAAAAAAGAAGAAAUUGUUAUAAUAAUAUGUCAAAAAGGAGGAAGUUGUUAUAAAAAAUGUGCCAAAACAAACAAGAGAAAGUUAUUAUAAUAAGAGGAAAUUGUUAUAAUAACCUGUCAAAACAAAUAACGUGUCACUAAUAUUUUGUCAUAAAAUAAUAUAUUUUGUCAUAAAAUAAUAUAUUUUGUUAACAACUUCCUCUUGUUUAACUUAACAACUUCCUCUUGUUUAACUGCAUUUUUUUGCUCCAAUUUAAUAUGUUUUAUUUAUUUUAUUAAUAGUAUUUUGAUUUUUAAUUUAUUAGAUAAUCAAUAACCCAAUUGUUAACAAAAUAAUAUUAAGUAUUAAUUUAACUGCAAAAUAGGAUUGAGCUAUCAAAAUAAUAUAUCAUGUUAUUUAUUUUCACACAUCUACUCAAACAUGUUAACUUUAAUAUUUUAUUUGAUUUUAUUAUUAAAAUUUUAUAUUUUUUAAGUAUUUUUAUUAUUAUUUUUUAAUUACAUUAACAAUAUUUAAUUAUUAUUAUUUAAUUAUAUUAACAAUAUUUAGGAAAAAAAUGCAGAGUUGUUAAGAAAAUACUUGUUAUUUUAUCGGCAAAAUCUUAUGGACACGUUAUUUGUUUUGACACGUUAUUAUAACAACUUCUUAUUAUAACAAUUUCCUCCUAUUUGUUUUGGUACAUUAUUAUUAAAAUUAUUAUUCUUUUUAUUUUUAUUAUUAUUAUUAAAAUUUAUAAUAUUAUUAAAUUUAUUAUUAUUAUUAUUUAUUAAUAUAUUUUAUUAAUAGUAUUUUGAAUUUUAUAAUAUUUUAAUUAUUUAUAAAUUUAUUAAAUAAUAAUAAACAUAAUUAAUAGUAAAUAUAAUUAUUUAUAAAAUGGCAACAUAAAAAAAUAUAAUAUUUCUUUGAAUGGGACAUUUUGGUCAAAUAAAAAAAAUCAUGUAAACAUUCAUUAAUAUAAUAUUAAUCCAUCCUCCCAAAACAAUGGUACACCAAAAAAAAUGUUAUGUAUAUUAUUGGUGCGGAUUAUAAAAAUAAUUUGAGUAGGUCAAUGAAAAAACAUUAGUUACUAUAUAUAAUUUAAUUAUGAGAGAUAAACAAGGUGGACUCAAUAUGUCAUGAGAUCUAAAGCGAAAUUCUAAUAAGCAUUAUCAAAGAUAAAUAAAUUUUAAAUAUUUUAUAUAAUAAUUAUAGAAAUUUCUUUGGUUGAAAUCAUGAUAUUUUCAAAUCCAUUUUCUUAAUAUUUUUCAAAAAAAUGAAAUAAAAUAAUUCAACUACAACAACAUAAAAAUUCAUGUAAAAUUUUGGAUUUUUUAGUUGAAAAGAACAAUAGUGUGUAAGUACGAAAUACUACUUCAAGAGCUCAUGUUAACAAUGUGCUUACUAUUAUUCUCAUUAUUUCUCAAUUUAUAAUUUGAUAUUUCUCAUGGUAUCAAUGUGCUCACUUAUCUCAUGAUUUUUCAAUAAAUAGAGCAUUCAGUAAUUUACAGCAAAAACAAAAUAAAAUUCAUUUUUAUUAAAAUUUAUACAAAUUUAACAAUACUUUUUUUUUUCUUCUAUCAAUCAAUCUCUCAAAGAAAAUGUAUCAAAUAGCAAUCACCCAUAUUUUCAAUUUUACUUAACUCCUUUGCGAUUUUAAUAAAAGUCACAUCUCAACGAAAUUCAUAUUUUUUAGUUGAAUAUUUAUAUUUUAAAUUAUUUAUUCAAUUAAUAUAAUUAAUAAUGUAUAAUAUUUCUUUUAUAAUUGAUAAUAAAGUCAAUUGAUUUAACUUUUAUUGAGACAACAUUAAAUUUAUAUAAUAUUUUAUCAGUUUUAGUUUUUAAAAUAAUAAAAUGUGAAGUCUUAAUUAAAAAGAAAUUGAAGUUAACUAUAAAAUUUGUUUUUGUAAAGAGAAAAGUGAUUAACUUCUGCCAAAUAAAUUCAUCAAUUCACAAUAUAAAAUUAUAAUGAAAAAUUUUAAAAAUAAAAAACUGUAUUUAAUCAGAGCAAAAAAUAAAUUCAAAUAUAUAAAUAUUACUAUAUUAAUAUAUUAAAAAAAUUAUUAAUUUUAUUAACAAACUAAUAACAAGGAAAAAAUAUCUACUAGUAUAUUUAUCGUUACGAUAAGUUGUACGUUAUUUGAAUAAAAGAAGUCAACGUUUUUGCAUUAUGUUUUUCUAACAUUAUUUUAAACUUGAAUAUAUGUUUUAUGAAUAUUAACUUAUGCUUUUUUUUUAAUAUAUUUUAAGAUUUUAUAAAUAUUAACCUAUGGUUUUUUUAAAUACGUUUCAAGAGAUUUUAAAGUGACGGUGUUAUACAUUUAUCAUUUUCUCAACACUUUUUGUACUCGAAAAAUAUUUUAUUAAUUUAAAUUUGAAAUUUAGUGUUUUUACAUGACCAUAUUCAUAUAUUAAAGCAAAAUAAUUUUUUCUAAAUUCAUCAAUACUUCGACACAAGUAGAAAAGAAGAAAGAAAAUGAUAUCAUAGAGAUAGAUGUAAUAUAAUUAUUAGUUGGUAGUGUUAACAAAAAAAACUUGCGUAAUAUUUACUUGUUUAGAUAAAUAUAUGUUUGCCAUCAUGAUAAAACAAGUCUAUACGAAGAAAGAUUCAAUAUAGAUGUAGAAAGAAAAUUAUAAAAAAAAAUAAAUAAAUAAAACUUACUUGCUACUGUUUUAUUUUUUAAUGUUACAAUAGAAAUAGAAAAAAAAAACAUCUCAUUAAAUUUAAAUUUAAAAUAGCAUAUAUAAAAUUUGCAAACUAGAUAAAACACUUGUAAUUCACUUUAAAAUGUCUCAAUCUUCUUGAUAUAAUUCAGCUGUCCCAUUAUAUUAUUCCAUUAAUAAUCAAAAACAACCUUCCCAUCAUCUUUAGAAAACUAUUUUUAGAGGCAAAACUAAUACUCGCAUUCAAACCGCUUUGAAUCUGAAAACUAUUUAACACAUGUAGUAACACUCACAUUGAAAACACGAAAAAACACGAGGCGUAGAUAUCGAAAAAUAAAUCUAUUCUUCAAAUUUAAACUCAUUGAAUCACUAUUAACUAGUUCAUCACUUCAAUAAGGUAGAGGAUACAUCAACUUGUUGUGUAUGAUUGUUAGAGUCUUGAAUAACUUUUAAAUAUUUAUCCACAAUAGACUAACAAUUGUGUUGAGCCUCGUAAACAUCCAUCAAUCAAAUAUUAAUCCAUCAUCUCCAAAAGAGUGGUACACUAACAAAAGAAAUUGUUUUCUUCUACUUUCUAUGCAAAUGUUUCCAAUUUUACUCAAAACAUAUAUAUUUAUUUAAAUAUGUGGUGUAUUAUGAUGCAUAAAUAUGAAAAACAUUAGUUAGUGUAUAUAAUUUAAUUAUGAAAGAUAAAUAGACCCAACAUGUUAUGAGAUUUAAAGUGAAUUUUUUAAAUAUAUUUUUAAAGUUAAUAAAUAUAUCAUUAAUAUUUUAUUUAAUAACUAUAGAAAUUUCUUUGGUUGAAAUCAUGACAUUUUUAAAUCUAUUUUUUCAAUAUUUUUCAAAAAAUGGAAUAAGACAUUUCAACUAUUGUACACCAAAUAAGAACUCACGUAGAAUUUUUUAUUUUUUAGUUGAAGAGAAAUAUAGUGCGUAAUUAUGAAGUACUAUUUCAAGAGCUCGUGUUAACAAUGUGGUCACUACUAUUUUUAUGAUUUCUCAAUUUAUAAGUGAUAUUUCUCAUGUUAGCAAUGUGCUCACUUAUCUCUUGAUUUAUCAAUUUAUGACUAAUAUUUUUCCAACCCCUAUUAUCUUCAUCAGUCAACUUAUUGUAAAAUAAAAUUCAUUUUUAAUAAAAUUUGUAUCAAUUUCUACUAAUAAAUGUCUAUUGUAUCAAGAAGCAAUCACCCAUGUUGUAAAGUUUACUUGUGUAUUUAUGUACCUUAUGUUGAGACAAAAUCUCUCUUAAAUGGUUUUAAUGAUAACAAAAUUAUUUAAAAGAUUAUGAUUGUAGUUAAUGACUAAUUGAUGCUUUUGAGUGUAUUCAUAUAAGAAAAAAGUUAUUAAUCAUUAAGACAAAAAGGAGAAAAAACUGAUUUAAAUCUAGAGCAUUGGAAUUCGAGAGGAAGACCUCGUGAGAGGAUGAUUUUUCAAAUCUCCAGAAUACUCAUCCUUGUUGAAACAAAUUGUUUUAUUCAUUAAAUAAAAGCAAAACAAUAUUAAAGAAUGAAUAAAUAAUACUUUUGAAAUAAAGAAGCAAGAUGGCAAAAGAAAUGUACGAGGAAGGACUACACUAGGAUGGGUCUAUGGUCAAUAUCUUAGAAAGCAACCCAACAUCUUUGUAAGCAACCCAUCAUAUCAUGUGCAAAGGCUAAAUGUAGACCUAUAUAUCAUUCUUGUAUGAUUGAAAACAAUAUAGAGUCAAUCUUCAUAAAGGCGUCAACAAACAAGCUACAAAUAGAAGCCUUCACAUGUCUUAAAGAAAGGAAAGAGAAAAAGUCAAUCACGUGAAGCUUUUACAUGCCUUAAAGAAAAGAAAAAGAAAAGGACAUCACAUGUGGUCUUACAAGCCUUAAAGAAAGGAAAAAGAAAAGGACAUCACAUGUCCAAAGUCCUAGGUAUAUUGAACUUCGUACAGGAGGACAUACUACAUUAGUCAAAUGAAAGUUGAAUGACAAUUUUGUAAUUAUAAGGAAAGACCUUG
rnacentral:lncRNA from 1 species